GAUUAAUUUAAUAGUUGACAACUAAUCGAUUGAUCGAUUAAUCGUCGCAGUUCUACUUCCGUCCAAACACAUUUUGGCAGUUUGGAGCUUCAAACACUUAUCACAUAAUACACAGUAUCUAUAAUAAUCAGCCCGUGCAACACUAAAUGUAUGACUGGGAUCACAAAACAAACUACUUUUAAGAGGAUGUUUGAAAUAUGCACAUUGUGAAAUUAUAAUUAUUGAUGCAAAAUUUGUACAAUAACUAGCAAUAUGGGAAGAGGCUGUCAGGGGAACGGGGAGAGGGACGCAAUUGCGGACCAGGGGAUUGAAGCGAUUGAAAGGGAGAGGGGAAACACCAAAUUAGGUUCCCUACACUCAAUAUAUCUUAAAAAGACUAAAAGUAAAACCCCGCUGCCGAGCAGCUGACUAGAACAUAAAUGAAACAAAAGAACCAGCGAAGGCAGGCCACACAGACCUAACCCACUCUAAGAGACUCCUGCUCUGAGAAGAAGCUAAAUGAAGUGAGCUAUUCCCACAGAUAGGUUCACGUGGUACUUCUGCAGAUUCACACACACCCCUAUACAGACAGCGCAAAAACAGGACUCUCACUACCCCUGACAAAGAGACAAUGAGUCAGCACCUGAGCACUGAAACCAGGUAGAUAUAGGCUUCAACCACCUGAUGCUCAUCAGGGACAAUCAGGCUCCACAGCUGCCUCUCCUCAGAGAUAAUUAACCCAACCAGCCUGCUGAGUGGCAGCGUGACCCUCACAGAGGCAAUUAAAGGAAUAUGCACUACAACUUCCUGCGCUACAGUCUUCAAGACUAUAGGAUCAUACACAAAAGGUGCCUCCUGUUGAUCUCGUAGAUGAUCUCCAGGUGACGAGGCAGAAGGUUCUGGAAGAGGUCGACGGGCCAGCGCUCCAGGGCUUCGGGCAGGACCGUGUGGUUGGUGUAGGCGCAGGUCCGAACCACGAUGUCCCAGGCCUGGACGCAGAGAGUGUUGAAGGAUGCAAAGAGACAGAAUUGUUGCACCCCUGAGUUCACCAGAGUGGGCUCUUAGACGAUCUGACAAGCUCUUUGUUUUAUGCAUACUGAGGCCUGUGUGUUACUGCACAGCUGGAAUGCCCGGCAUACCUUCG